AUAUACAUAGACAGAUCUGAGAUCUGAGCCUCACUAUUAUUUAUUUUACUACAAUUUAAAGUUCAACAGACGUAUCCUACUUGUUACCCACUCAAUAGUUACGUAUUUGUCGUGCUGCCGCUGAAACAGCGCCACUAGCCCACACACCGGUUGAGAUCGGUACUGCAUCUCUUCCUGCACUCUUCGUUAGGACACAGGUUCGAUUCCCCGACGCGGAGGCACAUUUAUCAAUUAUUACAUCAUUUAUUUACAUAUUUUUAGACAUCUAUAGUAAACAUAUUUAACAUUUAACAAAGACUUUUAUUUGCUUCUUUUAAAUGAUUUGUUGUGUUCAUGUUCCUCUGACUGCAGUCAGGCUGGAGCUGUGAUGAAGUUCUGUCUUUGUCCACAAGUGGGCGCUCCAGGAUUAUUUAAAGGCCAUGCUUUUAAGCAUGUUGAUUGGGUUUCUCAAGGACAUGGAGCAUGUACAAUGCUAUAACAAGCCUCUGUGAUAAACAGAAUCAAAGUAAGAUGAUGUCCAGUUUAAACAAAACACAAAUAUAAAGAAGAAAAUGGAACAUAAAGUAAAUACAAGGAGAAAUAAAAUUGAUCACAAUAAUGUGUCUACAUAGCUUGAGUAAUAGAAACUAUUCUGUACAAAAAGGCAACACAUGAAUUACAUUUGCAAGCUGGCUCAGUCGAUUUUGGGAUGUCGGGCUGGAUUCAGAUUUCCACUGUUGUAAAUGAGGUGUUUAGCUGGUGGAGAGCAGAAUGAGAUGGCCUGAGCAGCGUGGUUGUCUAUGGCAGGCUUCAAGAGGGUCUGGUGCUGUUAUAUUAUAGGACUCUGAUAUAUGGUGGACUAUGGGAGCCCAGAGGGAGUGUAGGCAGGGCACACAUUUAUGGAACUGUUGUGCGUCUUAAUUAGAACUGCCUUCCAUGUUUCAUCAGUGAUUCUGGCAUCCAGCUCUUCUAAUUUAUCAUCAGACAACAGAGUGGACCUGCAGGAGCCCACCGCAGCCUUCCAGAGAGAUUCAAUUUAGACAUAGACAUAGAUACAGUACUUUUCACUGGGAACUCUCUCUUAAAUUUGCAUUUUCCAACUCAAUCCAAACAAACAGCUCUUUCUCAGAAACUGAAAGAAAUUGUUAAUUACAAGUUGUUUUCUUAAAAAAAAAAAAAAAAAAAAAAAAAACAGGACUUCCUCUUUAAUUUGUGGCAUGUGGAGCUUUUUAGACUAAGUUUGAUUCAACACAUUUAAAAAAAAAAACAAAACAAAACAAAAAAAACACCAGACAAAACAAGAAAUAGCACUAAAACGGUGGUAAGGAUAUACAACAGUAAUAUGGCAGGUAGUGUGACUACUGAUUUUGGCAACUUAUGAUGAAAACGUUUAAAUUUUUUUGUAUUUGGAAAAGUCGCUGUGACCCGGAGGUCCUCCCUACCGACUCUUCGGCGCACUGCCCACCGGAAAACAGCGUCCGUCUCCCGCGGGGAAAGCCGGAUAAAUGAGGAGAUGAUGGAGUCCAGUUUCUUGAAGUGGUGUGGGGGAAUAUAGACCAGAAGACAUUGGAACAUGUGUUGGAGUCUGUCCAGCCCGACCCGAACCCCCGGAGAGGAUCUACGAUGUUGUCCAGAGGAAGAUGGGAGGCACCAGACCGACGAUACAGACGAGCUGAAGGCCGCCGGGCUUCAGUGACGCCGCCUGCAGUGAAGCAGCCCGAAGGUGUGAACGAGGCUCUCUAGUCCAGAGUGUAGAUGUUCUCCUGGACCGGUCUUCUCAUCCGGAUCUCGUAGAUGAUGUGAGGAUGCUCUUCAGAGGAGAAACUGUAAGAGAGAGGAAGAGUGAACAAACAGCCGGUCGACAGACGAGGAGAGUCUGAGAUGCCGUCGAUGUCCACCCUGCAGCAGUACGGCCCGCUGUCCGUCCGCCGCACAUUCAGGAUGUCCAGGUCCAUCUGUCCGUCCAGGACGUCCCCGGUCAGCCGGUACCGGUCCUCCACCUGCAGCACCAGAGUCAGAGUUCAGUCACUAUGCUAUAAUGCUUGACAUCUCCACAAGAUAACUAUCAAGAUGUUGUUGCACCAGAAGGUUCCGCAGCCGCGGCCCCAGCAGACCCGGCUCAGCCCGAAACGCUUCACGGAGUACUGACAGGACAGAGAGGCCACGCCCCCCUCCAGCACUUUAAAACAGGAAACAGACGAAAAGUGUCCACCUGCAGCACAGAGACACACCUGACACACCUGACACACACCUGACACACCUGACACACACCUGACACACACCUGACACACCUCCACAGCUGUGCAUCAGUCCUGAAGUUUAGUCAUAAAUAAAUUUCUCAACCAUAUAAAUAAUCAUUAAAGACCCGACAGUUUGUAUGAUUCACAAUAACAAACAUCAUGAAGCGUCACUCGGCUCUGUCACCACCUGUCUUACUGUUUUCAGGUUAAUAUACAAACCAAACGAUCAGUAGAUUAAUGUUGAAAAUCAUCAGCAGGUGAAUCCAUAAUGCAAAAUAAUGAGCAGUCGCAGUCCAGCACCAAGGAGCUCCACAGCAGUAAUCUGAUUACACUCACAGCAAACUUUUCUCUUUAAAUGCUUUAAUGUUCCUGAUUAUAAUCACAGACUUUACAGUUUCUGAAUACUUCCUCCCCAUCUUACUUGCAACAGAGUACUAUAGUACUAUUACAGUGUGGUAUUAGUACUUUUACUGGAGUAAAGUAUCUGAUUACUUCCUCCUCAGUAGCUGUGCUGUGAUGUCAGCUGUUUGUGUCUCACCUGACAGGACGAAGAGGACGAUGAUGAAGGUCUGAGGCGUUCGACGGCGGCGAGGCGAGACGGCGGCCAUCCUGUGACUAGACGAGGAUGAAUGCAGUGUGUUUACUCUGAUGGAGGGAAAUACUGCAAACAAAAGGCUUUUCAGGCUCCACACUGAAGUAUUUACCCGUCAGGAGGAACUCUGACUUCUCAUCAUCAGGUCCAAAACUUUGGUUCAUGCAGAACUGAUGACAUUCACAUCAGCCUCAGCUGCCUGCAAAUGUUUCUGAACACUUUCAACUUAUUUCUCCAUUGAUCUUGUUGUGUACGCAACAUUACCAGACUCCAUUAACAAAUCAUGUGAUUUUAAGAGUUGUUGAGUUAAAACAAAAUUAUAAACAUUAUGAAACUUCU